rnacentral:tRNA from 1 species
GAGGGUAUAGUUCAGUGGUAGAGCAUGUGCUUAGCAUGCACGAGGUCCUUGGCUCAAUCCCUAGUACCGCCA